rnacentral:rRNA from 1 species
AGGAUGAACGCUGGCGGUAUGCUUAACACAUGCAAGUUGAACGAAGCUUAUGAAAGCUUGCUUUUAUAAGACUGAGUGGCGGACGGGCGAGUAACGCGUAAGAAUCUGCCUUUAGGAAAAGGAUAACAACUGGAAACGGUUCCUAAUACUUUAUAAGCUGAGAAGUGAAAUGGAUUUAUAUCCGCCUAGAGAUGAGCUUGCGUCUGAUUAGUUUGUUGGUAGGGUAAAGGCUUACCAAGACGACGAUCAGUAGUUGGUCUGAGAGGAUGACCAGCCGCAUUGGGACUGAGACACGGCCCAGACUCCUACGGGAGGCAGCAGUGAGGAAUUUUCCGCAAUGGGCGAAAGCCUGACGGAGCAAUACCGCGUGAAGGAUGAAUGCCUGCGGGUUGUAAACUUCUUUUCUUAGAAAGAUACUGACGGUAUCUAAGGAAUAAGCAUCGGCUAACCCUGUGCCAGCAGCCGCGGUAA